CGGCAACGGCAACGGCAACGGCAACGGUAACGGCAACGGCAACGGCAACGGAGGCGACGGUGACGACGACCGCGGCGGCGGCAACGACGACGACGACGACGACGACGACGACGACGACGACGACGGCAAGGACGGCUACGGCUACGACAACGGCGAUACGAAGACGAAGGAGACGCGCGACGAUCGCGAACGUCGACGACAACGAAGUCGCGAGGAGAGAGCAACAGCAGCCGAGCAAUCAGCCGCGACGGCAUUUGAUCCAACGCAAUUAUGUACGCGUACGGUUUCGAGAUCACGUAGUACUCGGCGUGUAAUUAUGUUGUUGUUGUUGUCGUCGUCGUCUUUGCACGGCGCGCCCUGUGUAGCUUCACGGUGAAAAUCUGGCGUGAGAGUUGCCGCGGUGGAAAGGGGAACAUGGCGUCGGUCUCGGCCGAAACUCGAGCCAUCCAUGGGCACAGUUUCAGUAAGAAGACGUUUCACAAGCCGACGUACUGCCACAACUGUACGGACAUGCUCUGGGGCCUCAUUCAGCAGGGGUACAUCUGCGAAGUUUGCAACUUCGUGGUGCACGACCGCUGUCUCAAGGCCGUCGUGUCUCCCUGCUCCAGCAUCGCGGCAAGCUUGAUUAAGAACCCGGUCGCACACUGUUGGUCCGAACAGUUGGUACAUCGCAAAAGAAAAUUCUGCAACGUUUGUCGGAAACGAUUGGAUGAUAAUCUAUCCAUACAUUGCCAAAUAUGCGAGUAUUUUGUGCACACGGAAUGUCAGGACUUUGCUGUGGCAGACUGCAAAGAAAAUGCAACUUAUUUACCUGGAAAGGAUUUGGCUGCUGUAAAACAUACGCAUCAUUGGCGAGAAGGAAAUCUUCCUAGCAAUUCCAAGUGCGCCGUAUGCAAGAAAAGUUGCUUCUCUGCCGAGUGCCUUUCUGGAUUUCGCUGCGAAUGGUGCGGCGUAACGUCACACGCAUUCUGCUACAAAAGCAUUCCCUCCGAAUGUACGUUUGGGAAUUUGGAAUCAAUUUACCUACCGCCACAUGCCGUCAGUAUUCCACGUACCGAAGUACCAAUGGAAGCGAUUAUUGGGGUACAAGUGCGUCGUAAAGAAGUCCUGGCGCGUGAGUAUUCCUGCCAUAACAUCGGAGAGCAAUUCGAUUUCGCUGAGAGUGAACAAAUUGGGGCUGCAGGCCGCCUAGCAGAAGCUUUGAGGCGCCUUUCACUAGUUUUGCCACGUAGCUGCCAUGGAAAUUGUCAUGCUUCCCCUCCUUAUGUUCGAGCAAGAAGCAUAUCCGAAGAAUUUAGCAGUGGUGAUGCCAAGUAUCGCGAUAACGACGAACCUGUGCAAGGUCCGCAUGGCCGUGAUCCACGAUAUAAUAAAGAUAAGGAGGAUAAAGAGAGAGGCGACGAAGAGAUGAUAAAGGUGUACGAUGGUAAUAGCUCUUUGAGGCGUCGAAUAUUUCGAGUAAUCACGAUACCUAGACAAGCUACCACGGAACAAGUUUUAACAUCCGCACUUCGUGCAUUUCAUAUCACGAAAGAUUCUAAAAAUAUUCAUUUCUAUCCAGGCAAUUUUUACUUAACCGACUUGUACGCUACGGAAGAAACUGAGUUGUGCGAUCCGACACCAGUUCUAAACUUGAAUCGUAAAGAAGGCAAACGUCCGGCAGUCUUUUUGCGAUUUAAGGACAAUGAAAGCGGAGAAGUGCGUGUCUAUCCUGGAAAAUUACAGAUAUCGGAGUCGUUCUGCAUCGUACCUGUAACGGAAACAACGACAGUAACAGAUUUAAUUCAGGAAUCCCUUCAAAGGUUUAAUCUAAAAAGUGCAAAUUCUGAAGAUUACAGAUGUAGACAAAUUCUCCUGGAUCGUGACGUAUCCGGCCGUGUUUUAUCGCCAGAAGAGAAACCAUGGGAUAUAGUUAAACAGCUCGGUAAAGAUUCCAUUAGGCAAAUGGAAUUGAUGCGCUUUUAUUUACAAUUAAAACAAGAUCCCCACGGACCCAAUUUGGCUCUAUUCGUGGGGAACUUGCCACCGAAUCUUUCGGAACGAAAUUAUGAAAAUAUGUUGACCGAGUUUUUAGGAAAAGAAAACAAAUUCUCGUCCAUUGGCCCAAUUUACUACGAAUACGGUUCGAUGGUAAUUAUAUACGAAGAUUCGAAUAAAGCGGUUAAAGCGUUGUACACUUUGCGCGAAUCAAAAUACGAAGACAAACAUCUUCUGGUUAUGUUAUUGCCAAGUAUCGAACCAAGUAUGGUACCAUCAGGUGUUCAACCCUUACUUGUAUUUGUGAAUGUCAAAUCUGGUGGUUGCCAAGGGCUACAGUUGAUUUCUAGCUUUCGUAAACUUUUAAAUCCUUUUCAAGUGUUUGAUCUGGAUAAUGGCGGGCCACUUCCUGGGCUUUACGUUUUUCGUCACAUUAAACACUACAGAAUUUUGGUCUGUGGCGGAGAUGGUACGAUAGGAUGGGUCUUGCAAUGUUUGGACAACGUCGGUCAAGACAGCGAAUGUUCUUCGCCCGCUUGCGCUAUCGUACCGUUAGGAACAGGAAAUGAUUUGGCGAGAGUGUUAUGUUGGGGGUCUGGAUAUACAGGUGACGAGGAUCCAUUGAAUUUAUUACGAGACGUUAUCGACGCAGAAGAAAUUAUAUUGGACAGAUGGACGGUUGUUUUUCAUCCGGAAGAAAAAGAUGACAAGUCCCAAAUGAGCACCAACGCUGCAGUAGGGGCAAGUUCAACCAGCGAGGACAAUACGCAAAUAUUUGUAAUGAAUAAUUAUUUCGGUCUUGGUAUCGAUGCGGACUUGUGCUUAGACUUUCACAAUGCAAGAGAAGAGAAUCCUAACAAGUUCAAUAGUAGAAUUCGAAAUAAGGGUGUAUACGUGAAAAUGGGUUUACGUAAAAUGGUCGGCCGUAAACCUUGCAAAGACUUGCACAAUCAGAUUCGAUUGGAGGUGGACGGUAAACUGGUGGAUUUGCCGCAAGUCGAAGGAAUAAUCAUUCUCAAUAUUUUAAGUUGGGGCUCUGGUGCUAAUCCUUGGGGACCGGAUAAAGAAGAUCAGUUUAACAAACCGAAUCAUUGGGAUGGUAUGUUGGAAGUCGUAGGAGUUACAGGCGUUAUGCAUCUAGGACAGAUUCAAUCUGGUCUCCGUGGAGCAAUGAGGAUAGCACAGGGUGGGCAUAUAAAAAUACGUUUGCACUCUGAUAUACCAGUACAAGUAGAUGGCGAACCGUGGGUCCAGAGUCCGGGAGAAAUUGUAGUUCUAAAAUCUGCAUUAAAGGCUACCAUGUUGAAGAAAAAUAAGAUCAAGCGUCGGAAUACCGAACCGUCGAUCCUACCUGCUAAUGGGGAGGGGGGCAAGAGCACGGACGAGUAAACCAACCAUACUGCAGCUUGCCACUAGUCAGUCAUUAUAAAUCGUUCGUUUGAGAGAGGUGUGCGAUCCUCGCCUAGACUCCUCGAUGUGCAAAAGAAAUAGCACAUAGGAACGGGGAGUUUCGGUGUGAUCUCACCCCCCCUAAAAACGUAGGCAUCCUAUGUAUGAAUUGUUCCGAUCGACUCCCGAAAGAAACGCAUGCGUUUACCUCGAUGUAUAUAUCACCACCGUGUCGAUACCCUUGGCCCAAUUGCAGCUGGAUGCUUCUCGCAACGAUGCUGAAGAAGAGCAAGGGUAAAAUGAAGCGGCGUAAUACAGAAUCCAGCAUGCAGCUCACACUACAGGCUGCGCCCUCGAACGAUCCGGAUUCUGAGAUCUUCUGAGUGAACAAAUCGUACUGUGCGAAGAUGGUCAAUGUCGUUGUCACGCAGGAGCACGUAGUCACGUACGGAAAUUAUUUUAUUAUACGAUGAUAACGUAUAACGUGUGUAAGCGGCCUCGAAAUCGUCACCGUAACGAUUGUGCUGUUACAACUUCAAUUACUACAACGCAAACAGUUGUUUCAACAGGUGGAAGUAGAUAAGAUUUUCAAAUAAGAACUCAUGAUAAGAUUCAUUGAAAAAAAGGUCAGUGAUAUCUUUAAUGUCCGUUCACAUGUUGCUAGGAUGAAACUAGAUCUCAUUUCUAAAUGUUAAUAAUCAUAGCACUGUAUGUAGCUUGUCAAUCGAUAUUUUUUUAGUCAAAUUAUAAUAGAACGUAACACACGAUAAUGUUACCUCACGAACUUUUAAAAGCAGUAUUGAAGAUCAUAAGCUACUUGCUUCUAAUAUUUAAUUUAUGUUUAUAUAGCUUGUAGAUUGGACACACGAAUGUAAUGUAUAUUACGUUUGGUAUGGUAUUUUACCAAUCUGUGGCAGUAUGAAUCGAGUAUUGCGAUAUAAGACGCAAAAAAGGCAUAGAGAUAGUGAGAGUGAGAGUGAGAGUGAGAGUGAGAGUGAGAGUGAGAGAGAGAGAGCGAGAGAGAGAGAGAGAGAGAGCGAGCGAGAGAGAGAGAGCAAGAGAGAGAUCAGUUGUUAUUAGUAUGUUACACACACACACACACACACACACACACACAAUAUUAAUAUAUUCACAUAAUAUCGUAUUAGUAUUAUGAUUUUAAGUUGUGAUAAUUGAUAUACAAUCUGACCGCUGGGCAGUCUGGAAUUCACAAACCAGGUGCGGUUAGAAAUUUCCUAGAAAUAAUUCAUAAGGGAGUUAAUGUAACUUUCAAGUAGCGCCGCUCCAAGGCAAAGCAUUUUGCCAAUUCGUCUUUGACUUGUGUACAAGAGCAGCGCCAUGAGCUAUGAAUUGGACAAGUAAAUAAAAAAACAAAUAAAUACGUUAAGGAGGUGGCUUGACAACGUUCUAAAUUUGGCUCCGACAAACCCAAAUAUUCCAAGUUUGCCGGAGCCAUCGGUAGAUCGAACAUUCCACUUUAUUGUAGUCAAAGCAAAAAAAAAGAAAGAACGAGCGAGCGAGCGAGCGAGAGAGAGAGAGAGAGAGAGAGAGAGUGAGAGAAGAGUCGGGGGAGAGAGUGAAAGAGAGAAAGAAAGAAUACGUGUUACAAAUUUAAAAAAGCCAGUGUAUAAGAGAAAUUAUAUAACGAUGAACAAACUGGAAUGGUAAUAACGACGAAAUCGUGCCCUUUUCACGUGGCAUAAAAAGCGCGCCUUUGAAACAUCGAGUAGCAAUGCCCGAUGAACGACGAUGGACUCUAUUCAAUGGCAUUGUUGCUUAUCUACAGAGAAAAGAAUGGGAAUAAGUGUAUGCAUGUGUACGUGCCUGUAUGAACGAGAGUGGGUUUUGGGAGUGACAAAAAUGCGGUGCCAAACAGUUGUAAAUAAUAUUAUAUAUGUAGGAGAUAAGAUGGAACUAGUCGUGGUGGCAUCUAAUGCAGCGCAAGAAAUGGAUGCAGUGCGACGUGUAUUGAUGCUAACGUUGUCAUGCCGAUAUUAAUCCUAAGGAAGAGAAAUGUAAUCUGCGACGCGAUGCUUGGACGAAGGAAAAACAAGUGAGAGAGAGAGAGAGAGAGAGAGAGAGAGAGAGAGAGAGAGAGAGA